rnacentral:lncRNA from 1 species
ACCAUCAGGAAACUUGAUUUUGAUGCUGAGAAACUUGGGAGGAGCACGUGGUUGUAGGCAGACCUCGAGUCCCGGGGGCAGGACAUGCAGCCCAGGACAGUGGGGCACCUGGCCGGGCCUCCCUGGGGCUCCAAAGUCCCGGAUGCAACUGCCCCCACUUCCCGGGGUGGGGGGGCUCGGCCACAGGAGCCCUGCAGAGCUGGUGCCACCUUGGGGGCGUCUUCUUUUCUUUUACGAGUAACUGUCGGACUUUUCCCAUGGGUCCUGCUCCAGUUUCAGAGAUGGGACGUCCGGUGGCUCCUAGGCCAUUGUCACUUUCACCCUUGACCAGGGCAAAGGAUACUGGCCAUAGAGUUCCCAUGGGGGUGCCGUGAGUUAAGAAUCCGACUGCAGCGGCUUGGGUUGCCUAGGAGGGGAAGGUUCAAUCCCCAGCCCGGGCAGUGGGUUAGAAGGAUCUGGUUUGCCAGGACUUCAGUGCAGGUCACAGCUGUGGCUCAGAUUCAGUCUCUGGCCCGGGAACUUCCAUGUGUCGUAAAAUUAAAAACAGCCACCACAACAAAACCCAGGGUGCUGGCCAGACCCUGACCCUCUGCAGGGGCCCCAGGGCCCAAGGUCCUGAGGGGCAGAAACGGACACCUGCCCGUAAGGAAGGGCCUUGGUCCCGCUUCGCCAGAGGCCACGCCCGUAGCACCUGAGCGGGGGCCCGGGGUGGGGGGGCCGGGGCCCCGACGGCCCGACGGACGGAGCACCUGUGCUGGGGGUGGGGUUGACCUUCCCGGAGCCUUCGGCCCGAGGCGCAGGGUGUCUGCCCCCCCCCUCACCAUCCAGCCUGACCCCCUGCAUCACACCUGCUGGUCUGCUUCCACCCUGGGUGGGGGGAGGUUACGGGGCGAGUUGUGUCCCCGCCAAGUUCAUAUGUGGCAUCCUAAGCCCUCGUACCUCGCAUGUGAUCGCACUGGGAGAAGGGGCUUCGCAAUGGGAGCGAAGUUAUUCAGCUCGCGGGGGGGGUCACCCCGCAUCUCAAGGGAUCCUAAAUCCAGGGACAAGUCCUCGCGGAGGAGAAGACUCGGGGCGACUGGUCACAUGAGGACGAAGGCCGAGGCCCAGGGGUGCUUGUCCAAGCCAGGAACCCACAGGUCACCGGAAACCACCAGGAACUCGGAGGAGGCCUGGACCAGACUCUCGCUGGCGGCCCUGGGAGCCGGCCGAGCCUGCACUUGACCUUCUGGACUUGCAGCCUCCAGGCUGUUAGCAAACAAACAAUGCGGUCUGGUUCGCCCAGGCCGAGCUGACGAAGGCCCUGAGACUUGGGUCCUGUUGUCCCCGGCUGUCCGGCAAUGACUGCCCUCCAGGCACCUUUGGGGGCUGAGAUCCUAAGUCCACACCCUUGGCAGUGCUCCCCCGAGUCCGACUUCUGCGGCCUCGCCCAGCCCUUGACGAGGUCCUGCAGCUUCCUCUGUGUCUUGUCUAAACCAGCUCAGGAUUGUGGCAGCCUUGGCCCCGCAGGGGGAGGUGGGGCAGAAUUCCACCCCAUUACAUGGACAGAAGCCACGAGGGAGGGUUCGCCGGCUGGGUCGAGCUGCCUGGGCUGCAGGGGUCCCCGUCAUUUGGAACCCACACUUAUUCUGUGUAUGUUCGUAUUUCUGGGGGAGCUUCGCAUUUGAGUGAGUAGACUGAAUAAAGCAGAUGGCCUGCCCCAGCCUGAUGGGCCUUACCCAAUCAGUUGAAGGCCCGGAACAAAAGGCUGAGUAAGAGGGGACCCCUCCAGCCUGACGAAGGAGCUGAGAUAGUCUUUCCCUGCCUUCUGACUCAGACUGAAAUUUGGGCCCUUCCCCGUCUCGAGCCCGCUGGCUUUUGGGCUGGAACUCAUGCCAUCUGCUCCCUUGGGCCCCCAAGCCGCCGACCACAGGUCGCCGACUCCUCAGCCUCCGUCACUGCGUGAGCCAGUCCUUGUCAGCAGUGUCCUUGUACGUACACACAGUCCAUCGGUUCUGUUUCUCUAGAGAACCCUGAUGAAUUUCUCCAAGAGUCUGACACCCGCAGGGGACCGCGUUUCCAUCCUCGGAGCCAGGUGUGCGGGAUCCGGGGAGGACGGGCUCCUGGCCUUCUUCUCCAGCGCAGCCCGGUCCAUCCCAGGUGGGCCAACACCCUGCACCCCGCUGGCCUCCCAUCCCAGCAACCUCCGCCCCAGCCGUGAGUGGGCAAGGCCAUUGUCACCCCUCGGGACUUGUCAGCCUCUGAGACUGAAGAUCCCGGGCUCCCCUCUGUUGGCCUUGGCUCACCCCCCGCCCCGUGUGUGUCUCACACCCGCUUUGUCCGGACACCUCCUGGCCCACUGCUCCCGCCUUCGUGUCUUAGCCGGCAGUCCUCGUGCUGACCUGUCCCUUGCCCCUGUCCUUUGAGUCGGAAUGGACACCGGGGGCCUUGCCAUUAAGUCAUUGUACCCCGGUGUUUCUGAGUCAGGAGGCCCGGGGUGGGGCCUGAGAUUUGCAUUUCUACCUUGUCCAGGGGCUGCUGCUGGCCCAGGGACCACACUUUAAACCAGACUCUCUCUUUUUUUUGUUUGUUUUUGUUUUUUUUAGGGCCGUACUCCCAACAUAUGGAGGUUCCCAGGCUAGGGGUCCAGUCGGAGCUACAGCUUCCGGCCCUGCACCACAGGCACAGCCACGCCAGAUCCGAGCCGUGUCUGCAAUCUACACCAUAGCUCAUGGCAACGCCAGCUCCUUAACCCACUGAGCAAGGCCAGAGAUCAAACCUGCAACCUCAUGGCUCCUAGUCGGAUUCAUUUCCACUGUGCCAUGAUGGGAACUCUGCAACUAGACUGUCUUGGUAACAAAUACGCCCUGAGGAGUUCCUGUUGCAGCUCAGCUGUGAUGAACCUGACUGGUAUCCAUGAGGAUGCGGGUUCGAUCCCUGGCCUCGCUCAGUGGGUUAAGGAUCCAGUGCUUCUGUGAGCUAUGGUGUAGGUCUCAGCGGUGGCUCGGAUCUGGUGUUGCUGUGGCUGUGCUGUAGGCCGGCAGCUGCAGCUCCAAUGCAAUCCCUAGCCUGGGGACCUCCAUGUGCCGUGGGUGCAGGCC